GUAUGUGGCCAUACCACCCAGGAUGCACCCAAUCUUGUCUGAUCUCAGACGCUGAGCAGGACUGGGCCUGGUUAGUACUUGGAAGGGAGAAAUGUGGCUGAUUUACA
rnacentral:rRNA from 1 species